rnacentral:lncRNA from 1 species
UUUCUCCACAUCUCCAGCACAUAUGGCUCUCCCGCAUCUGUUGGAGCAUCAGCUGGUCAAGCUGUUAUUUCCUUGCACUCCAGACCCAGCCAAGGUAGCACUGACAAAUGAGGUCAGAUUUGGGGGCCGAGGUCGAGGGCGACAAAUGGUGCUGAGACCCGGGAAAUAUUAAGAAAAAUAGAAAAACCUUGCAAGGGAGAAGUCCGC